GCCGAGGUGGUGAAACGGUAUACACGCAGCCCUCAGAAGGCUGUGAGCGCAAGCUCGUGGAGGUUCAAAUCCUCUCCUCGGCA
rfam:Candidatus Daviesbacteria bacterium RIFCSPLOWO2_02_FTLL_38_15 rifcsplowo2_02_scaffold_15879, whole genome shotgun sequence.